CGGGGGUGUUUUACACAUUGCAAGUCGAACGAUGACCACUUCCGUGGGGGUUUUUGGGGAACGGGUGAGUGACACGUGGGCGAUCUGCCCUUCUCUCUGGGACACACCCUGUGAACGGGGUCUAAUACCGGAUAACACUCCUACUGCCAUCUGUGGGGGUUAAAAACUCCCGCGGUGAAAGAUGAGCCCCCGGCCUAUCACCUUGUUGGUGAGGUAAUGGGUCACCAAGGCGACAACAGGUAGCCGGCCUGAGAGGGCGACCGGCCACACUGGGACUGAGACACGGCCCACACUCCUACGGGAGGCAGCAGUGGGGAAUAUUGCGCAAUGGGCGAAAGCCUGAUGCACCGACGCCGCGUGAGGGAUGACAGCCUUCUGGUUGUAAACCUCUUUCACCACGGAAAAAACGAAAGUGACGGUACCUGCGCAAAAAACGCCCGCUAACUACGUGCCAGCACCCGCGGUAAUAAUCUGAUCCCG
rnacentral:rRNA from 1 species